UAAGGAAAUGCAUAUAUUCCUUAAAACCCCGUGGGUUCGAUCAUGUACAAUUUAUUUGUGAAAUUAUUACAACUUUAUCACUUAAGUUGAAUGUGAUUAAUGCAGUAUAUUCUAUUACGCAUUAGCGAAAUACGAUAGAAGAAAUAUUCAACCAAAUCAGAAAUUCCUGUCAUAAACAAUGAGGAAUAUGGCUCAUUGUCAAUUCGGUUCAAUGAAUAAACACACAAUUUUCAUGGAAGUCUGGCAACGUUGGGUGACGAGUUCACUCCCGCGAUCUGAAACCCUGACACCACAUUGGGCAUUCGUGAACUGGUAAAUCGAUAGGACAGUGGGAGAGCAUGAAACCGGAUAAAAUGAGAUAUCCGCUGUUGCCGCACCGUUCAACCUAAACACCGAGUUAAUAUGGAUUGAAAGAAAUUCUUACGUAAAGUUUCAUCGUAGUAAACAAAUAUAAAAUGAAUUCGGUUGGUAUGGUUAUCUAUCAAUAUGGAAACGGUAAACUCUUCAUCUUCGAAAAAUAUCUGAAUAAUCAGAUGGGAAAGAAAACUUCACAACUGGAAAGAAUGUUGAGGUGAUACCGAACGAGAAAUACGAGUAACAUGCUUUCCAAAUUUCAUUUAAUUAUGACAAUCUGAUGGCACGCUUGCUAUUAAUUUUUCACUCUGUUGCCAAGUUAAGUGAUUGCAACGCAACGUCACCCGUCACCGACAACAAAACAAGUGAAUUUUCUUUCAAAAUGAAAAAUUAUAUUAGAAAAUUGUCAGAACAGAGCGGAAUUUCAUAUCACAAGAUCAUCUAGUGCAUAUCUACAGUAAAAUAUAGAUUUCCAAUUAAUAAAUAGGAAGCACUACUAUAGAUACGAGUUUUACAGUAUAUUAUUUCCAAUAAUUGCAACUUCUAAGGUAUAUAAUGAAAUGCUGAAGUGAUUUGUAGAAAAUCAACUAGUUACGUUUAAGAAUAGAAAGUAAACUCACCUCAAAAAAGCCAUUAAAAUUGCAAAAUUUUAUUCCAGUGACACAAGUGUUCUUCUCUUCUUCUAAGAAAACAAAAUAAUCACAAUAUAUUUCAAACUUCACAUAAUCUUUUUUUGAGAAAAAAUUGUGACGCAUUCUGUAAGAACUUCCCACAACGAUGACCGAUUUAAUACUGGCUUUGCUUUGCAUUUGCUUACUUGGGAUAGUGGUGGUGGAAAGACGUGCGCACUGAAAUCUCACAGAGCUCGUUUGGGCGAAUCCAUUUACAUGAUUCAAAUGUUACAUGCUUGCCAAUUUUGAUGUGUAAUAUUUCUAUGUUUGAAGUUUUAUUCUUCAUCACUGGAUGAUUCGUAUUAUUCAUCAAAAAAAUAUUUUCAGGGAAUUUUUUACCUCUUUAGUCCGAGACUUCUAGAGCUUUUGUCAUUCUUCGCAUUGUUUAUGUUGUUACCCAGGCGGACUCCCCUAGUAAUAAAUAGGAUGAUUCCACCAAGUUCUACUUUCAAGGGCAACGUUCGUCGUUCUGACAUAUGUACGAGUACGAACUACGUUAGUACAAUGUUGCCGCCUGUUUGGUGUAAACGAGAAAUGGAUUGAAUCUCUGAAAGCAAAUAUUUUUUGAUGUCACAUGUUAACAGAGACCGAGUCACCAGUGGCGGAUCAUGCUUCAAACUAAGAGGAACAUUUAAAGAAUUUCCACCUUGAAGUUGUGCCUUGAAGAUUCACUGAAAUAUUAAUGCUGUGGGUUCGACCAUGAACGAAAUGGAUUAAUACUCCAAAAAAAUAAAUGAGAAACUUGUGGUGUUUUUCUGCUACAGAGAAGAAAUUUGGGCCAUAGAUCAAUUGCAGAUGACUCAGAUUGAGGUGGAUGUCGAAAUCUCAGUUCGAUCUAGGUACCCCUAUAAUGAACAUCUCAACGGAAAUCAAAUCAAGAUUACACCAGACUUUUUCAGAGAGCCCAUUUGAAUGUAGAAUGGUCAUCGUAAUCGCCUAAAACCUUAAUAUCAUAGUACGAAAUAUUAAACACAAAGUUUUAUUCAACAAAUAAGGAAAUAUUUUUCAAACAGCACAAUUUUGAGAAUAUUAGUUAAGCUGCGUUAAGUCAACUGUAGGUAGCGCUACCAACAAAUUAAGAUUCUUGUUAUUUAUUAUUUAUGAGUUUUGUGCCAUUUUGUACCUACAUAUCUUUCAUUAUAGUUAUGACCUGUGUAAGCAAUUCUCGAAAUUGAAACUAAUAAAGACCAAUAAACUCUUUCUCUAUUUCAAAUAUUUCAAUUCAUUCUUAUAGACGUUUUGUAUUUUGUUUCACGACUCUGCACGAUCAUACUCGGUUACACAUCGCUUUUAAUUGGCCAGGAUUGGGUGUUAAUUGAUGUAUCCUAUCAAAAUCGAAGGAAAAAGGUCGAAAUGACAAUUAUGACAUUGCGGCGCCUCCACGAAAUAAAACUAAUAUUCUCAAUUUGGUCGAAUGUCAUUGCAUUCAAAAAUUGAGUGCAUACACCAUGUUUUUAGACAUCUUACAUAUUGAGUAACUGACAUUAGUGACAGUGAUUUUGGGACGAAAUUUAAAUUUCAAAUAUAACAAUAAUGGAAACUGAAACAGAUACGUUUAUUAACAUUCUGAAUGUUACCUAAUACCAUAAGCAAACAUGGAAAUAAAAAUCGAUAUUUUCACAGAAUAUUGUCUCUCGUCAUAACGUAACCUUCAAGAAGGACCCACAUAAUCUAUUGCUGUCAAGAACUGGAGCAACCUGUCCAGCAGAAAAUACUAACGUUACCAAAUUGAUACCUAUCAGUAGCGGAGCUACUUUCGUUAGCGAUCUUUCUGCUGAACGCGCCCAUUCUUUCUUCAAAUGUAAAUUUUCGUCCCAAUCGAAAUUGCAGUUUCGAAAUUGAUGAUAAUGCAGGAUUUUGAAUGGCCUUAUUUACCAACCCCUGUUCGAAUCGGCUGGCCAGAAUCUAAUUCGAAGACGGAUUCGUCAUCAAUAAAUCGAUAGAGAAAUCUGUUUAAUGAACGAGAACUUAUCAGAAGAAUACAUUCAUUUAAAAUACAUAAUCUCAAAAUGAU